GUCCAGAGACAUACACUGAGUAUCUGCACAUCCCUUGAAAUCAUUCUAUCCAUGUCAGAGGUGUUGCCAGGUAGUAAAUGAUUUUGCUUCACCAAAAAAAAAUAAAGACAGCUAUCCAAAUUUACUUUAUCCAGAUGCAAGAACACACUAGCCUGUCUCCCAUGGUCGGUCCUAGUCUACGUGACUCCAAUGAUGCCAUCAGACUGCAGCCCCGUAUGGGAGCCCAAGGUCGCUCACCAUUCACGCAGACCGUUCCUGGGCAGCACAUGGCGCUCCUCUGGCAUCUCCUGCGAACUCUGCGGCACGUGGCACAGAAGGACCUUUCAUCAUGGAGCGCGAAGCAGAAUUUUCCUACGUUGCAAUCCUUGUCUGACACACACUGUGAGCCCUGUGAAGGGAAACUUGUCACAGGCUGGGAAAUUCAGUGAGCCCUAAGAGGUAGACUCCAAUAGCGGUGGGUGCUGUGGCCAACCUGGGCACCAUCUUGAUUUUUCAACAUAAGUGGUUUUCUCCCAAAACAGAAUCCACCCGUGAGAAGACCUUGGCUGUUCUGGAACUUGUGUUUGAAAAUUUGUCUGUAAUCAAUUAUGAACCAUGCCCCCAACCCCAAUUUUACUUCAGAACUCAAAAUUUAAUAUUCCUA
rnacentral:lncRNA from 1 species